rnacentral:rRNA from 1 species
UACGGAGGGUGCAAGCGUUGUCCGGAUUCAUUGGGUUUAAAGGGUGCGCAGGCGGGCGAUUAAGUCAGGGGUGAAAGACGGUUGCUCAACAAUCGCAGUGCCUUUGAUACUGGUUGUCUUGGGUGACCUUGAGGUAGGCGGAAUGGGUGGUGUAGCGGUGAAAUGCAUAGAUACCAGCCAGAACUCCGAUUGCGAAGGCAGCCUACUGGAGGUUCACCGACGCUCAGGCACGAAAGCGUGGGGAUCAAACAGG